rnacentral:rRNA from 1 species
GACGAAGGGGGCUAGCGUUGCUCGGAAUCACUGGGCGUAAAGCGCACGUAGGCGGCUUUCUAAGUCAGGGGUGAAAUCCUGGAGCUCAACUCCAGAACUGCCUUUGAUACUGGAGAGCUUGAGUCCGGGAGAGGUGAGUGGAACUCCGAGUGUAGAGGUGAAAUUCGUAGAUAUUCGGAAGAACACCAGUGGCGAAGGCGGCUCACUGGCCCGGUACUGACGCUGACGUGCGAAAGCGUGGGGAGCAAACAGG